GAGUAAUCAAUUCAAAACAAUGUGAAUAAAUAAGCCUUAUAUUUGACAAAGGAAUCUGAGUGCUAAAAGGUGAAACCAGCCUUCUUUCACUAAAAUAUCU